rnacentral:rRNA from 1 species
UACGUAGGGGGCAAGCGUUGUCCGGAAUCAUUGGGCGUAAAGAGCGUGUAGGCGGCUCGGUAAGUCCGCUGUGAAAGCUCCUGGCUAAACUGGGAGAGGCGAGUGGAGACUGUCGGUCUAGAGUGAGGAAGAGGAAAGUGGAAUUCCGCGUGUAGUGGUGAAAUGCGUAGAGAUGCGGAGGAACACCAGUGGCGAAAGCGGCUUUCUGGUCCUUAACUGACGCUGAGGCGCGAAAGCAUGGGGAGCGAACGGG